GGACCGAUAGCUCAGUGGUAGAGCACACGAUUGCAAAUCGUGGGGUCCCGGGAUCAACCCCCGGUCGGGCCU
rfam:Sphaerobolus stellatus SS14 unplaced genomic scaffold SPHSTscaffold_67, whole genome shotgun sequence.